CUUACCUCCUUUAUCAAGGAGUGGCCAUGGUUUAUGGCUGCAAAGUACUUAGCGUAUAUUGGAUAUUAAUUGUUGAAUUCUAGUUCUGAGAAGGAAGAACAGUUUCAUUUCCGUUUUUAUUUUACUGAAUGGUCACUUUCUCAAAGCUGUAGGACAAAAUGUGCGAAAUGGACAAGGCCACUGUCUCUGUGAUUUCUGGUGUUUUCCCUGUCCUUUUAUUUACCCAUGCUUUCUGCUCUCCUGCUUUCCCUUUCAUCCUCCCCUUCCUUUCUUCGUAAAGGGUUCUAUAUUGAGAGUUUGUUGAAGAAGUCCAGUGAGGCUGAAGUCAGGGGGGCAAGAAAGGGCAGUUAACUAAACAGCACUUUAUUUCUUUGAAGUUCUUAGUAAGACAUGGGGGUAUGAGUGGCUUGAACCCCCUGUCGUGUUGGAGGGCAGUUUGUGGGGUUGAAGUAUGGCGUAAGAUUUCCCACUGGGGAAAGGAGAAUUCCUCUUCCAGGGUGGGUGCCUCCUACACACAGCGUCCCAUCUGUUCUUCCUAAGAUCUCCUCUCUUACAAAUCAUCAUGUUUCUCAACCCCUCUUCUACCCAGAUCUGCACAAGAUUUGCCAGGGUAGACUAAAUCAGACAUGGAAAUGUUUCCGGUGUGUACUUCAUCUGUGUCUUCUGAAAAUGAGAACUCUGGCGGGCAGCCAGUCACUGAAGUUUGGGGCUUGGGCUGGAGAUGGGCCGUCAGGCCUUCGGGGCCUUUAGCCCCCCUCUCCGCUAAAACCAGCCUUGCUAAAUGGCACAGGACAAACCCAACUCUCUUUGGGCCUCAGUUUCCCCUCCCCUUCCUGAAAGGGAAAGGAUGCUCCUUUUUCUUAUUGGUCCAGCAUUGCCAGCCUUGAAAGUUUAGUCAUUGUUGUCGUCCUGGGUGACGUGUGCAAAACUGCAGGAGCUCACCGCCAAAAGAGGAAAUAGAGGAGAGCGUGGGGGAAAGGGACGAAGGAGCAAUUCUUUGGUAUCCAUCCACCCAUCCCUGCCUUUCUCUCUUCAACCCCCAUGUUUCUGGUUUGGUGAGUCCUUCAUACCACCCAUAAUGCUUUGCAUUGGCGCAGGCUGGGAAGGGGGGGUAUAUGGGCUCACAAGUUGUUGUUGUUUUUUGCAUGCUUUCUUAAUAAAAAAAAC
ensembl:lncRNA